ACCAGCUGACGAGUCCCAAAUAGGACGAAACUAGCAUCCUGAAU
rnacentral:hammerhead_ribozyme from 1 species